ACUUGAAAUGGAAAAUUGCUUAUAACUAGUGCAAUGGAGGAUUCUGCUGAACAAAUAAGGCACGGACGUGUCCGCUGGAUGUUCUGCGAUUCGUUUCAUGACAUUUUCUGCUGCCCAGGCAUGUGAAUAAUUGAAUAAAUCCUGUAAAUAAUAACGAACGAUUGAAGUCAAUCGAAGUCUGUGCCGUUUGAUCCAAACAGCAAGGAGUGAGGACGAUGUCUCUGUGUUAUCUUGAAGCGGAUGACAGCACAAAUUUGAUUCGUAGUAACAUGAUAUCUGUCAACAUCGGAGAUUAUUGAUAUGUGUCCGUUGCCCGUAAAAAGGAUGAGAUCCGUGGCGCAGACUUAGGAUCCUAAAUCUGUGUUCGUGGACAAUGGAUUAAGUAAUUACGCCGUCAGACAACGAUGGUGAUCUAUUCGAACGCUACGGAAGCAUCGAGUCAAUCGUUGAGUGCAUAAGAUGUUGUGCUACGAUGGGAAAAUUAGUUUACUUUGUUUCAUUGUGGCCGGGAUAGUGGCGAGUCUGCCAGGCGUCCUUUUGAGGUUAGAGCUCGACGUUUACCGGCUCUACUUCAGCAACGUCUGGCUUCUGCAUUUAUUUCAGUAUGCACUGUUGAAUUUCAUACUGCUAUUUGCAUUUCGAGACUUCACUUACAAGGUUGCGACUAGAGCAGUGUUCUUGGGCUAUGCGUAUGGAAUUGGCCUGUUAAUAGCUCUGAUCUUGCCAUCCUCGUGGCAGAUGUUCGGUGUCUACAUUAUUGUACUAGCUACAUUUCAUUACUCCGAGUUCCUGAGCAUAGCAUGGAUAAAUCCUAGCACUCUGUCUAUAGGCAGCUUCAUUCUAAAUCACAGCAUAGCCUACGGAGUGGCAGCAUGCUCCAGUUGGGUAGAGUUUAUCGUGGAGAGAGAGUAUUUCCCAGGAAUGAAGGAACCCUCCUGCAUAUCCUACUUCGGCUUAGUACUUUGCAUCGGUGGAGAAGUGUUGAGGAAGAUGGCCAUGUUCACGGCAAAGCAAAAUUUUAACCAUAUUGUACAGAGUGAGAAGAACGACAACCAUGAACUAGUCACGUACGGAGUGUACAAGCUCUGCAGACAUCCCAGCUAUGUGGGGUGGUUCUACUGGUCCAUUGGGACACAGCUGAUACUCCAGAACCCAUUUUGCUUACUGGCCUAUGCGAUAGCGUCCUGGAAGUUCUUCCAUUCGCGUAUCCUGCUCGAGGAGAUCACGCUGCUGUACUUCUUCGGGCAAGACUACGCCGAUUACCAGAAGUCAGUCGGCACGGGGCUGCCGUUCAUAUCCGGUUACAAAACCAAUUUAUAGCAGCCGAUCGCAGUCUAAAUGCAUAAAUAACGGGCGUGCCCGAUACAAAUCGCGUUAGAACUAGCAACGAACCUUACUAGCACCGAUCCUUAACGUUAAAUACGAUUCUUCCUCUUGAUCACCGCCGCUGCUCGUGGUUAACCCUCGCUGGAAUCAAUUCACCAGUUUCCUUAGACUCUCCCAAGUGGAACAGUAUACGUUUCGAUCGAAUUGCAAGUGUUCAAACAUUCUGAAACGAUUCAUAAAGAACCAAGAGACGAUGCACGAAACAUGAUACAGAAAACCGAGCGUGCACCGGUCCCUUCGAAAAUUAUUUAAACAAGCUCAAACGCCGCCGAUGUUACAAAAAUAUAUACCGUUGUAUUCGGGAAAGUCCGAGGAACAAUUCAACGUAGGAAUGGACCUUGUAGCUUCUCUAGUUGAACCAGAAAAAAUUCUCGAAUGUGGAGGGUUAACUAAGAGUCGCGAGCGGUUUCCAAUCGUUGGUCCAGGCAUGAUCUCUCGACAGACAAGAAACGAUUAGCUUACUGGCGAUGAUUGUGCAUUCCGUGUGUUGAUCUCCGCCGCUUCCUCGGGGGUUCUCGAUGGUUACAAAGGCUAAGUUAAUUAAGUAAUGAAAGGGCAAAGUGUCCGUUCGCCCUUUCGCUUACAAGAGAAUUCGUUGAAGCGUGAUGAGGAUGCAACUUUUACUCGUUAAUGAACGAUCCUGACGCGUUCUAUCGGGGGACUAAGGAUUCGAUGGCAGUGAGAGAACUUAUAUACGUGAACCGAUACGCUUAUCUGGUUUGACGGUGAUCGGCCGCACUGUGCUUGGCAGUCGAGAAGCAAAGUACGUAUCGCGAAACAAACGAAUUCCCCUAACUCAGAAACUGAAUUGGCGCCGUAGUGCUCGCGGCGCCUUGGAAACAAAACUUGUACAAAACGUCGCAGGUCGGUUCGAUUACAAAACGUCGACAUUAU